GCCAGAGAACUGCAUUUCCAAAGAACUUUUAAAGAAAGAGGUCUUGUUCUACCUGAAGUAAAUGAACCUAUAUUUCUCAACUCCGAUGAAUGAUCAGUUAGGAAUAAAAAGAAACCAAUGAUUCAGAGUAGAAAAGAAUAUAUAGGAAGAGAAGAGGACAGAGGAUGAUAGACUUUUCACCUCUGAAGAAUCAAGUUUCUGAAGAAAAUAAGUAUAGGGAAGUUUAGGACGGUAGCGCCACCAUCUUUUUGAGAUCCAUAGUGCCCUUGUUCCUCGUGUU
rnacentral:lncRNA from 1 species